GUCAUAUUAGAGCUCAGUUAGUAGAGCAUGAGACUCUUAAUCUCAGGGCCAUGGGUUCAAGUCCCAUGUCUGGCA